rnacentral:misc_RNA from 1 species
AUUUAUAAUACGCAAUGAUAUGUUAUUUUAUUUCAUUUAUUUUAUUGUAUUAAGUAAUAUUUACAAUUCCAUGAUGCAAGAUAUACGCAAAAACAACGUUUAUUAAUUAUUCAAUUUUAUUAUCACAACAACCGUUUUCCAAUUGCAACUUUUCGUGCAUUUCGAUGACAUAUGUACGACUUGAUGUAGUAGGAAAAGUACUCCAAAAUAUGGUUCGUCGAAUUUGUUUCUGAAAAAAGUCCUGGAAGCCAUUGAAUGAUGAUAUGUUCAGAGUUUAAUUGUAUCAACUAAAAAAAAAAAUUAGAUUUCCUUAAUAAUUUAAGAAAUCAUAUCAUUCUUAUUGGAAAACCUCUUUAUAUUAGUUCUAAUUGAGCAGUUCACAAUAGUAAAUGGAAAGGUUUGAAGUUUUUGACAUUUGUUGUUGAGCGCGCCUAAAUUAAUUUCGUCGGCUUGGUUUUUAAAUGUUAACAUUAAGAAAUUAAGAAUUGUUAUGAAUAUUUUAUAUUGAAGAAAAAUAUGAGUGCAAGCGAUGGUGUAUUUAACAAUUUACGACAAAAACUUGAUGUGCUGGGAUACACACAGACUUUGCCCUUGGCUGGUAUACCCUUGGUUGCAGCGCUCUUUGAGGAUUUGGUUAAAUCGACGGAGAGUCUAAGAGAUGCAAAGAAAAAAAUUGUCGACCUGUUGGAGGAAAAGUCUUGUUGGGAAUUAGGUGUAGAACCAUAUAAGUGUGACAAUUCACGUCUCUUGGCUGAAUGUAAUCAGCUGCAUCAACAAAAUUUAAAGGAUCGAGAAGAUUAUGAGCAACGAAAUUUUGAAUUAGGUCAGAAAAUCCGUAAUCUAGUUACGGACAAAUUUCACCUAGAGGAACAAUGCCAGCAGCUACAGCAACAACUGUCUUCACUAUUAGCCAAACAUCAGAGUACAGUAACUGGGCCAAAUAUGAGAAAUGUUAAAGACAAAGCCAAAAAGCCGUUUGUAAGUACGGUGCGAUCAGGUGAACGCAUUCCACCACUUUUGGAGUCUGGCGGCAAUAUACGUUGCACCAAAUGUACCAGCCAAACUACUCGUCCACAUGCGGCAGAUAGUGCAAGCGUUGGAGUUGACAAAAUGCCUAGUGCAGCGUUAAAAAAUGAAAUAGACAGAUUGGAAGAUAGGGUAAAGAAUUUAUUGGACCAACUCGAGUUCUAUAAGCGCAAGAUUGAAUCUCGCGAUCGAGAAAUUCGCCGUUUGAACGAGUUGCUGACAGGUGGUCGUCCGCCUGCUGCUCUAGCAAAAGACUGCUGUUUUAAAGAUGUACGCGGUAUGUCUGAAGACAUUGAAAACUUACAACGAGAGAAGACUGAGAGUUUGAAUAAGAUACGCGAGUAUCAAGAACAAAUGCAUGAAGCAAUGGAAAGAGCGCUUUCACUGGAAACUCAUAAUAAACAACUGCAACAAGAUCUUGAUGAACUAAAGGUUGCAGCUUUGGCAGUAGAAACACAAGCAAAUAGCGAAAUAGCACAACGUGAACAAGAGUUGGAAGAUUUACAAAAUGAGUUGAAGAAAUUGCGCAAUAGACCAGAGAAAGGUGAUAAUAGAACACAAAUUGGACGCAGAGCUGGAGGGGCUGGUGAUGGUGUAAACAACUCUAAUGACUCGUCAGCAGUGGCCGCCUUAAAUGCUGAUAAACGUCGUCUAAAUGAACGCAUUAAUGAACUUACACAAAGGGAUGCUGAGCUGAAAUCUGAAAAUGAGCGCUUGCUAAAAAAAUUGUCAAAGCUGAAAGGCAAAAUACAUGGCAUGCAAAAAGAGCUGCAAGAUAAUGUUCAACAAAAAGAACAACGCACCGAUGAAGAGAAAAUAAGAAUCAAGUCUGAACGUGACUUUUUCCAAAAAGAAUAUUUGCGCCUUAUAAGCAAAGCCGGAUCGGAAAAGGAAGUUGAGUUUCUUCAAUCACAAAUCAAAUCAAAAGAUGACGAGCUACGUCUUCUGCGCGCAGAUCUUUGUCUACGCCAACAAGAACGCCUAAUGCCAACAGUAAACACAGCCAAUGCAGCUACAGCCACUGCCACUGCAGCGUCGCUAGCAAGCGCACGCUCAAAUCAUUCCGCUAAGUCAACGUUCAGCGCUGCCAGUAGUGAUUGCGUACAAGCAGUGGUUCUGCGCGCGGAGCGUGAGCGUGAUUGCGCACGCGCCGAGUUAGAACGUGUGCGCUGUGAACGUGAUACAUUGCGUGAGAAACAUGUUUCCCUGCUGCAAACACAAUCGUUGGAAACGCAGAAGUCACAAACACAUAUUGGUGAGCUGAAUGCGCGCUUACGACAGUUGGAGCGAGAGAAUCGUGAGUUGAGUACCGCGCGAGUGCCACAUGAAACACACAUUGUACUGCUCAAAGAGGAGAUAGAUGAGCUUAAGCGGCAGAUUUUCGCUUUGCAAGAGGAAAAUACGAAAUUGCGCACGCGCAACAGCCAAUUUAAAAUUUUGAACGAGCAAACCGAACGUACACUGCAAGAGUAUCAAAGUAAACUUGCCAUUGCCGAGCGGCAACUGCAAACGUCUGAUACGCGUUUGAACGAUUUGGACUCGAAUCGUGAGGUCACACAUCGUGAAGCUGCACAGCUGCGCAAUGAAGUUGCAGCACUCAAGAAGACCUAUGUCUCACUGGAAAGUGAGAAAGACAAAAUAUUGACGCAAUUAGAUGCUAAAACGGAGCGUGCUUAUCAAUUGGAAUUUGAACUUAAACUUUGCAAAGAGAAACGUUUGGCGUUGGAAAAAGAGGUCAAGGAGUUGGAGGAGAAAUUAAGCCAAUUAACUGCGAAAACCCGUGAACGUACUGCCGAACUGCACGAAACCUCAACGGAAAGCAAAAGUUUGCGCCAGCAAAUCGCUGCACUGAAAAUCAGCCGAGACGAAGCUAUCGCGGAAAAUGGCCGUCUGUCGAACGAAUUGGCCGAACGUCAAGCAGAGAUUUUGACACUUAAGAAAAAACUGAAAGACUCCGAUUUUGAAAUCGAACAAUUGAAACAGCAAUUGCGUCAAUACGUAGCGGAGGUGAAGAAAGCCGAGGAUUUGUUAACGCAUAAGGAGAAGGAACGCGAGGAGAUGCUCGAGCAUUAUCGCAGUCUAUCACAUGAUGCCGUCAUAUUGGAGGGCAAUAAUCAGAGUCUAGAAGUUGAAGCAGCCGAGCACAAACGACAAAUCACCGAAUUAGAAGAUGAAAUAAAAGCGUUAAAGCAGGAAAUUUGCUCGCGCAAUGCACUUAUCGCACAAAUAGAGGAUAAGCUAACGGCGCUAAAUGCACAAAAUGCUAAGCUAGAGCGUGAACUUGAGGAUGCCUUGGAUGAACAACACUUGCUGAAAGUUGAUUUGGCCGCGCGCAAGGAACUUUGUGAUAAGCUCGAUGUAGAGCGCGAUAAAUUGAAUGCCGAGUUAACUGAACUGAAUGAGAUAAAGCGCAAGCUUGAACGUGACAAUGAGAAGCUGCGCGCGGAUUUGGAAAAGUCUUCGAAUGGGCAGAAAGUCUCCUCCGAAACGCUCGAGGAACUAUUGACAAAAACGCGUCGCGAUCUGGAGGAGCAAAUAAAAGUCGACAGUAAAUUGAGCCAGGAGUUAGUGCGUCAACGCCAGCAAAAUGACGAUUUAUUGCGUGAGUUAGACGCCGAACGCCAACGUCGUCAUCAACAGGAAACGCUGGCGCAGGAGUAUCAAAUACAAAAUCAGGAACUGCGUCACAAUCUCACCGAUGAUCGUUUUCGUCAGGCGCGUUCACGUGACCAAAGUCCACGCUAUCCCUCGCAGACAUUUACAAACAAAAAAAUAAUAAAGUGUGAACCAGCACAAAAACUGAGCAAACUAAACGCAGAUUUCAUUAAAACAAAAAAAAAAAAAAAAAAAACAAUUACAAAACAAAUCAUCAUCUCAGCUAUACUUAUACAUACAUAAAUUAGCGGUGCACAUACUUCACAUAUUUGCAACUUCGACCCAAUCAAAAUUAUGACAUUUCAUCAUCAUUCAUUGCACUCAUCAUCAUCAUCCUCAAUUUCGACGCAAUCCUCUCGCAGUUGAACACGAUAAUCAGGAUAGUAAAGUGUCACCAUAUUUAGAUAAGUUUUGAACAUACACGGACAGCCAGUGAAUUCCGGUACCUGCUGGUAUUCGCCGCCAUAAGCGAAGCUUAGGCGUCCUGUGAAUUAGGAAAUGUAUGCAGUGCUUGAGAAUUCUGCUGGUGAGCCCCUUGACAUGAUUAGACUGCGUUAUUUACUUUUACUACGUCAUAGAAAAUCAGCCAUAACUAACCAAUUGGAAACCUGUUUUCGGAGUAUUAGCGGCGAGUUAAGGGGUUACAUGAGUUUAUGGGUUUCAAAAAAUCAAACUUUUUUAUUGUCUUAUUAGAUUCUUGACCUCUAGAAUAUUCUCUAGCGCUCGAGGC